rnacentral:rRNA from 1 species
AUACGUAUGUCGCAAGCGUUAUCCGGAAUUAUUGGGCAUAAAGGGCGUCUAGGCGGUUUAGAGAGUCUGAUGUGAAAAUGCGGGGCUCAACCCCGUAUUGCGUUGGAAACUACUAGACUAGAGUAUUGGAGAGGUAAGCGGAACUACAAGUGUAGAGGUGAAAUUCGUAGAUAUUUGUAGGAAUGCCAAUUGGGAAGCCAGCUUACUGGAUAAAUACUGACGCUGAAGCGCGAAAGCUAGGGGAGCAAACAGGAUUAGAUACCCUGGUAGUCCUAGCUGUAAACGAUGAUCACUGGGUGUGGGGGGUCGAACCUCCGUGCCGAAGUUAAUGCGAUAAGUGAUCCGCCUGGGGAGUACGUUCGCAAGAAUGAA